rnacentral:misc_RNA from 1 species
GCAAACUUGGUCAUUUAGAGGAAGUAAAAGUCGUAACAAGGUUUCCGUAGGUGAACCUGCGGAAGGAUCAUUAAUGAAUUUUGUCAGUGGGUUGAUGCUGGCGUCUCUGGCGCAUGUGCUCGCUCCUGCAUUCUUCUUAUCCAUACACCUGUGCACCUCUGGGGGAUUCUGAGAUGGGGGGUUUUCCGCAAGGAAGGACCUCUUGAUUGGGUCCCUCGCAUUCACAAAAACACUUGAUUGAUCUAUGAACGUGACUGUGCCGAAAGGCCAUAAUACUAUACAACUUUUAACAACGGAUCUCUUGGCUCUCGCAUCGAUGAAGAACGCAGC